GACGGAAGGUGCAAGCGUUGCUCGGAAUCACUGGGCGUAAAGGGUGCGUAGGCGCCGUGCAAGUCUGGCGUGAAAGCCCCGGGCUCAGCCCGGGAAGUGCGCUCGAAACUGCGCGGCUCGAGUGCCGGAGGGGAGAGGUGGAAUUCCUGGUGUAGCGGUGAAAUGCGUAGAUAUCGAGAGGAACACCUGCGGCGAAGGCGGGUUGCUGGCCGACACGUGACGCUGGAUGCGCGAAAGCCAGGGGAGCGAACGGG
rnacentral:rRNA from 1 species